GUAAGAUUACCCCCGAAAAAUAAAAUGACGAAGCAAUACCAUCCGUUGACUAAAUAUUACAACAUAAUACACCACAUUCAUUUGUUUAGCUUCAUUAGUCCAAUUGCAUUUUUAGCUUGCUUCUAUGAGAAUGAGAAAGAUAAAAACAAUCAGAUAAAUCGUGUUCAUGUUGGUAGUCCCACUAAUACAAAAUAUUGGAUAAAAUUUGGACAGUUGCAGUUGACAACAAAUACUUCAUCUUAUAUCCACCUAAAGAAAAGAAAAUCAAGCAUUAGUAUUAUUGGUAAGACUUACAUAUGGUAGUAUAACAAUCAUAAAAUUCAGCUAGUUUGCAUAUUCAGCAAAACAAUCAUAAAUUCAUUAAUUUUGGAGGAAAAAGAGGGGCAUAAAAUAUCAGCAUGGACUAAGAGGAGAAAGAAAAGAUUCAGACACGGUAGACCUAUUGAAAUGCCCCCAUCAAAGGCAUGUUCUAAAUCUGAAUUGGGUCUCUUCUUUUUAGCAAUCUAUAGCUAGGCAUUAAAUAAUGAUUUACAACCUUGGAGGACCUAUUUAGGGAUAUGAACCUUUAACCUAUUUCAUUGGAGGAGACUAUCUUCAUUGAUUUUGGUAUUGAUGUAAUAACUGAAAAGUGAUACACACCAAAUUUAAAAUAGAAAAUCUGCAAUAGAAGCACUACCAGUAAAUCACAAUUCACAACCAUACUCGCAUAUUCUGUGACUUAGGAGAGAUCAUGUAGUGGUAUUUCUAUUUCAAUCACCUGACCCUACUCUAUUCAUGAGAACAACUGCUAUCUAUGUUGAAUGAAUGCGUCCAGGUUACUACAAAAAUUUCUAGACAAAUUCUAACUUCUGCAAAUACUACUUCAAUUGCCUUAUUUCUAUUAUAUACUUACAAGCAACGACCAUCUCAUCAUGACCAUCUAUCGAAGAGAUGCACCAAAAAGAUCUGAAAAACAUAAAGCAGAUAAACGAACCUUCAAAAUAUAAGUUUUGAGUAGUAUUUAAACACAUGUUAAAGGAUACAAUGAAAAGAAGCAUAUUGCCAACGACAAGUCUGUUUUUUCAUUUCCUUGCAAAACUUACUAAUGACAAACUAAGUGAAUGUGUGGGCUAAAGAUGUUGCAACCUGAUCAUUCUAGAUAUGUCCAUGUUAUUGUCCUUGGUGGGGCUUCAGUGAGAGUUCAUCAUUUAUAAUUUGCUGCUUUUGAGGCUAGUGAAAAAUAUUCAACAUGUUGUGCGAGAGAUUUGGAAACAACAGUUAUCACUUAUCACAUGCCAUCAGUUCUUGCUCGAUCCUUAUCUAUAUGAAAUAAAGCGUGCGUCUAUACCGAUAAGUAGAUAUUGAUUGAUCUCAACUAAUCAAGGGGAAAAUGUUUGAUAUUUUGGUCAAUUCAAAAUAUCAUAAUAAAAAUACCCCCGUACCCUGACAACUUAAAAAAAGUGAAAAGAAGAAAGGAAUGUUGAGGCUAGGAAUGAAGUGCAAAGAGAAAACUGGAGAAAUAAAACUCACAUGCAGACAUCCACUAAUCAAACAAAUCAAAUGCUCAAAAAACAAAAUCAGAGAACAUAGCUUACCAAUUAAUACAAUCGCAGCACACCAGAUUGAUCGGCAAAGGACUGUCAAUCCAACUAAAGAAGAUACUAUCAUGUGACAGAAGCAUUAUUCAAAGUUCAAACUUGCCGCAAUUAUUACUCCCACCGUUCCAGUUUAUGUAAACCUAGCUAUUUCCUUUUUGGUCCGUUCCAAAAAGAAUGACCCCUUUCUAAAUUUGGAAACAAUUUAGCUUAAACUUCCAAUUCUACCCUUAAUGAGAAGCUUUUAUAACCACACAAAUACUCUGGUCCCCAUUUUGACUUGUUUAGGACCACAAAUUCUAAAAAAGUCAUCAUUUUUUCUUAAACUCCGUGAUCAGUCAAACAUGUUCACAUAAAUUGGAACAGAGGGAGUAUUAUUGAAAAAAAUGGAAGGGAAGGAAAAGAUAAAGCUGUAAUUUUGAUUACUUUUGCUCCACGCGUAUAGUAGUCACCGGAACAUCUAUGUACAAGAUAAAAAGUCAUAAGCAAGCUGCGGUAAGGACUUUAUUUUCCUGCAAAACAAUUGUUGAUGUAUAGAAAAACAUGUUACUAAUUUAUAUGAGGGAAUCAAUUAGGAUAUUUGCGAACGAACAUUUAAACUUGUUGCUAAAUUUUUAUGUUUGAGUAGCUUAGUAACUUUUAUUCUCUGUGUAAAAGCAUAGGAGUUAGCAGGACUUCAGAAUAUGCAAGCAUUUGAACUAUCUCGGAGGAGUUGAUUGAAAUAUUUCAAGAAUUUCUCAAGGAUUAAUCUUCAUUUCCUGCACAUACUCUAGUCCCUCUCGAGAUAGUAAUUCUGGGGUUUUCACAUUAUAAAAUGACAUAAAGAUGAUCUCCGAAUGAUCUUCUUAGCUGCUACUUGAUUUUCAAAUGUAUCAACCAAAUCAGACAACCCAAUGAAUGAAAGCUCUUAAUCUUCAUUAUACUCCAGCAUAGAGCGAUAAUGUCUCAAAUUCUAGAGUAAUCUUAAUAUCUCGUUCUGAACACUUAUGUCAUUUGAGUAUCAAAUAAAUCUCAGUUGUAACCUAAAAGCAACAACCAUAAAUUCCAGCUUUGUUUCUUUGAUACUAUGUUGUAGAUUAGUUUUAUGGAGUUACAACCAACAAAUCAGAAGUAGAAAGAUUCAAAAAAUGACGAAGAAACAAUAAUAAUUCAACGAUGAUAGAUAAACAAAAUUGAUUGUCCUUGUAAUAUUGCAUAGAUCAGAGAGCUAUUGUUGAAAUGUGAGACCCGUUUGGCCAUAGAUCACUUUUGACACGGAACCAACCCCCAGAGGAAACAGAGGGACAACAACACAAAACUGCAGCACAUCCCUAUUUUUAUUUCUAAAGCAAGAAAGAACAACGACACUGCCACUCUUCAAUUAAUUUCUAAAUCAAUUCCCAAAUAGAAUUUCAGUGCACCUUUAUCAUCUCUCAACGCAAUUCUAAUGUGCAAAGUCGCCCAAACCUGUAGAAGUAAGAGGUUCUUACUCCCAUGUAGUCUAAAUACUUUUUUUCUUACUAUUUUCUUCAAUCCUUUAUCUUCUUUUUUAUAACAAGAAUAAGUACAACUAUAGAUUUGUUGCCUAACAUAAACUUUUCCUAAGCAUUCAUCCCACAAAUCAAAGUAGGCAAAUAACUUUAAGCUUUUCCUAAUCAUGUAUAUUCCAAUCAAUCAACCUCCAUUCCAUACAUCAUCCUAUUUCUUUGGAUGCUGUCAUAGCCAAAAAGAAGUGACAAAAUAAGACGGUAAACUUUCCUCUUCCAUUGUUAUCUUCGAGAAAUAGAGUAAGACAGUGGACACAUAGAAGGUUUGAAGAUGAAAUUUCAUAAAGAUACCCCACGCCCUAGAUCACUUUCAGCAUUCUAAAGAUGCCAAGUGAAUGUAGAAAUUUGAAAGUUCUAAAAGAUGGAUAUAUAUUCUUUGUUCCGAGUUGGCGAUUUUGGUGUUAUAGAUGUAGUUUAUUGUAAGGUCUGUAAUGUUAUUUGAAAAGUGUUCAUGACGGCUAGUAAGAUGAUAAAGCCCAUAAUACUGUAUGUAAUACCCGAAAGAAUUGUACUCUAGCUAGUUUGUUGAACAUACCAUCACAAUCUCGGUGUUGUUUGUAAUUAGAAAAUUUACCUUUUUAAUCAAAAGCAAUAUAAGGAGAAAAUAUGGUCAAAGUAUAGAAUCAGAUAUGCUGAGCACAUUUUUCCUGAAAUAAAAAGAACUCAAUUUAGUAAAAAUUUUGAUUCAUAUCUUCUCAAGCUCAACCUGAGACUAUACUUUCCUAAAGUCGGAAUAGGAUCGUUCUCCACUUCACGAGAUUUUAAAAAGAACAACUUAAUUUUGUAAAUACUUCAUUAAUCAUUUUUCCCAAAUAAAGUUUUUAAACAUAUAAAAUCUCUAUAAGAAGACAAAAGUGAAAGAACACAAGUAUUUUUCUUGGCUGUACAUUAAAAAUAAAAAGAAUGCAUUUGAAACAUUAGUUUGCUAAUUUCAGUACUGUUGAAGAAGCCUUGUAAAACAUUAAAUUCGGAUAGCCUAACAUACAAUUAUUUCUUGUUAGCUAAGAAGUCCUUUAAAGUAUGCAUCAACUACCGUCAACAGUCAGAUAAAUAUUACUUCUCAUUUAAUUCUAUCCUCUCAUGUCUACAGCAGUUUAGAAAAUCCACAAAAUUGUUUAGAUCCUGGGGCCAUCUUACAAUUACACCAAGAAUACACAAACUGCAAUGACUUGAAUUGAAUACAUGCUAAGGCCCAAUAAGUAUUUUGAAAAAAACUAUAGUUUCUUUCCACAUUGUGCAAAAAAAGCACGAAGGAACUUAUUACUGGAUGUCUUUGUGAAUGUAAUAGAAAAUCUCAUGAAUUAAGCAUAAAAAACCUUUUGUUCUUGGGGAUAAUUGCAUUUUUAAUGAGUUACUAAUAUUGAAAAGGGGAAGUAAGUAAAAGUAAACCAAAAUGUGCAGAACUUACCUGGUACAAGUGAAGCAAUAUUCCUUUCCCCACUUUCAGUUAACAACUUCCUUUAAGAAAAAUCUGAAAAAUCAAUAUUUUGGGACCAUUAUAUUCCUACUAAAUGAAUACAAAAAUAUUCGGUAAUAUCAAAAGUUCAUAUUUCAAACAAAACCCAAGUAAGCGAUACACUAUUCAGUUUAAUAGAGUCUCGUCAAAAAAUAAUAAAAUAGGAGUAAUAAUUUUGAAAAAGAAGAAGAUAAACCCAAUUAAAGAACAUUGUGUGAGAAAAAUAUUGUGCAUGAGUAAAUCAAACAUAUCUACUGACAUGUAUGUAUAACAUUCAAUAAAAUACUGCCCAAAAGUUCAAGAUGCCCAAAAAAUUAUAUUAAAAACAGGAUCCAAACACAUGCAUAGCCGAGAAAACAGAGGAAGAUGCAAAGAAGGUGUCCAAUUCCCUGCUUCUUAGUAGGAGAAACUGAUAGAUAAGUCACCAAAGAAACCCCAAAUUUUCCAUCUUUCAAUUUUCUUUUUCAAACUUUCAGUUCAUACACUUUGAAAACCUAAAUAGACACAAUUCAAUAAUGUAGCCACAUAAGACUCACCAAUCCUUGUAACAUUAAAAAAAUUAGAAAUGGUAAAAGAUAAAAGAUAAAAGAUAUUCUCCAUCUUCAUAAUAGCCAAAGGUAACACAUAAAUAUUAAAAAAAUGAACCCAGAUGGGACUAAAUCUAAAAACUGAGCAAAAUAUUAACAGGGGGAAGAAGAAAAAGGCAUCAGCAAGAGAAAGAGUCGGUGGAAGGGAAAUUGAGAAAUGUAG
rnacentral:lncRNA from 1 species